GACGAACGCUGGCGGCGUGCUUAACACAUGCAAGUCGAGCGGAGCGGCGAACGGGUGAGUAACGCGUGAGUAACUGCCCCCCUCUCUGGGAUAACAGUUGGAAACGGCUGCUAAUACCGGAUAGUGGGGGGUGACUCGGGGCCUAUCAGCUUGUUGGUGGGGUAUUGGCCUACCAAGGCGACGACGGGUAGCCGGCCUGAGCGGGGGACCAGCCCCCAUGGUCUGAGGUACGGCCCAAACUCCAACGGGAGGCAGCAGUGGGAAGUAUUGCCCAAUGGGGGAAAGCCUGAUGCAGCAGCGCCGGGUGCGUGAUGCCCGGCUUCGGGUUGUAAACCGCUUUCAGCCAUGACGCGGUAGUGGCAGAAGAAGCACCGGCUAACUACGUGCCAGCAGCCGCGGUAAUAC
rnacentral:rRNA from 1 species